GUUUUUAAAUAAAACUCGAUUGUUCUCCUGAAAACUAAAUUUCCUUUCGAUUUCCGUGAGGAAUAAACAAUUAAAUUAAAACUGAAUCAACUCUAAACGAAACAAAAUACUCACCUGCUGAAGAAAGAAAAAGAGGGGGGUAAAAAAAAAACAAAAAACAAGUUUAAGCAGCUUUGAAAUUGUCAAAGAGUACAGAUGAGCUCCUGAAUCAAAUGACCCCGCUGUUCUGCCUGGUGACAAACACAAAGACACAUCAAGCAGCUGAUUAUUUCACGCGUUAAUUUCUCACACGCUCUGAUUUUCCUUCUUCCAACGGCCCCGACGUCCACAACAUGUUUUCUUAAGAAAUAAACUCCCAGACCGGCGUCCUUCCUCCCAGACAAUUACGGGUUUUGCGCGAGACAUUGUUUCGUCUGAAUGUUGCGGUCAUUAUGGCUUGAUUUGCAUAUCGAGCAUCGCUAAUUUCCUCGGCGCGUCUGAACAUGGCUGCGCGUAACAAACAGGACGACGUCACCGAACGUGGACCCCGCGUAAAAACGAGUCUGAAAAUUACAAACCGACAACGCUGGGAUGAAAAUGAGAAAAUAACUGGGAAAAAAAAUUAACAACGCUGUUACUAAGUGGGGGGGUGUUUAUAACGCUUCCUAACGUGCUGAAAACCUCAGUGAGAAGACGCGCUGGAAAAACACGCGCCCUGUUCAGACCCUCUCAUCCCGUGGAUGGAAUAAGACGCUUUCGAAAGACGGCCGCCGAGCGCGUUUCCGGCGAACCGGUCGUGGGAGGCUUUCGUGGACGUGAUUUGUAAUCGAGGAUGUUCGUUUGUCCGUUUCACAUCCAGAUGAUGGUUUUUCGGUGCCGCGGGGAGUCCGAGGAGAAUAGGCAGCUGGAGCUCCGAGUCGCCCGCAGGAGGAAGUGGAGGCAGCGCUGCCUCGUGAGGCUGAUGCAACAUGAGGGACGGAAGACAAAUGAAAGUUGCUUUGGUUUCACAUCAAUAAGAGCCCACGAGAUGCAGAAGAUGGUUCAAGCAAAUGGUAAAAAAUACAAAAUAAAUAAAAAUCCCUUUGAUGUAUAUGUUAAAACCAAUAUAUAUAUAUAUAUAUAUAUAUAUAUAUAUAUAUAUAUAUAUAUAUAUAUAUAUUAUAUACAAUUAUAUAUAAUUCAUUAUUAUUUAUAUGAAAGUACAUUUAUACAAUAUAGUUUAUUAUUUAUCCAUUUAAUUUUAUGUUAGAAAUUGAAAGUUCGAAGCACUGGAUAAACAUAUUAUAUUUAACACAAUGC